rnacentral:lncRNA from 10 species
AACAUUUUCAGGGUAAGAUGGAUAGGACAUCGCAGUUGCAAGGCUUUCAACAAAAGCCUGGAGAUACAUGAAAUAUUAUAUUGACGCUGGGAACACAGUUGAGAGCAAAGCAGAAGCACCGACCUUGAUAGAGUCUCCAUGAGGGUUUGAUACACAGGGAAAUGGAAAUUGAAACAACAAUAAGAAGCCACUACACACCGAUUAAGAUGGCUAAAUCCAGAACACUGACACCACCAAAUGCUGAUGAAGAUGUGGAGCAAUAAGAACUCUCAUUUAUUCCUGGUGGAAAUGCAAAAAUGAUGCAGCCACUUUAGUACACAGUUUGGCAGUUUCUUACAAAACUAA